CCUACGGGAGGCAGCAGUAGGGAAUCUUCCACAAUGGGCGAAAGCCUGAUCGAGCAACGCCGCGUGGGUGAAGAAGGUCUUCGGAUCUUAAAACCCUGUUGUUAGGGAAGAAAGUGCGUGAGAGUAACUGUUCACGUUUCAACGGUAUCUAACCAGAAAGCCACGGCUAACUACGUGCCAGCAGCCGCGGUGAUACGUAGGUGGCAAGCGUUAUCCGGAUUUAUUGGGCGUAAAGUGAACGCAGGCGGUCUUUUAAGGCGGAUGUGAAAGCCUUCGGCUUAACCGGAGUAGUGCAUUGGAAACUGGGAGACUUGAGUGCAGAAGAGGAGAGUGGAAUGCCAGGUGUAGCGGUGAAAUGCGUAGAUAUAUGGAAGAACACCAGUGGCGAAAGCGGCUCUCUGGUCUGUAACUGACGCUGAGGUUCGAAAGCGUGGGUAGCAAACAGGAUUAGAUACCCUAGUAGUC
rnacentral:rRNA from 1 species